UAGCCGUAAACGAUACUCGCUAGGUGUCGGCCACGGUGCGACCGUUGUCGGUGCCGUAGGGAAGCCGUGAAGCGAGCCACCUGGGAAGUACGGCCGCAAGGCUGAAACUUAAAGGAAUUGGCGGGGGAGCACCACAACGGGUGGAGCUUGCGGUUUAAUCGGAUUCAACGCCGGAAAUCUUACCGGGACCGACAGCAACAUGAAGGCCAGGCUGAAGACUUUGCCGGAUUAGCUGAGAGGUGGUGCAUGGCGUAGUCGUGU
rnacentral:rRNA from 1 species